GAAUGAAUGAGGGAAGUAGAAAGCCUGUCUCGAGUACAGGUGUGGGAGGGGUGGGGAUAAGGGACAUCUGGGAAAUUGGUGGUGGGAAUGUUGCACUGGUGAAGGGGGGUGUUCUUUACAUGACUGUAAUCAUACAACUAUAAUCAUAUUUGUAAUCACAGUGUUUAAAUAAAGAUAACUAUAAAAAAAGAAAAAACCAAAAU